rnacentral:rRNA from 1 species
AGAGGCGAUGAAGGGCGUGCUAAUCUGCGAUAAGCGCCGGUAAGGUGAUAUGAACCGUUAUAACCGGCGAUACCCGAAUGGGGAAACCCAGUGUGACUCGUCACACUAUCAUUAACUGAAUCCAUAGGUUAAUGAGGCGAACCGGGGGAACUGAAACAUCUAAGUACCCCGAGGAAAAGAAAUCAACCGAGAUUCCCCCAGUAGCGGCGAGCGAACGGGGAGGAGCCCAGAGCCUGAAUCAGCAUGUGUGUUAGUGGAAGCGUCUGGAAAGGCGCGCGAUACAGGGUGACAGCCCCGUACACAAAAGCGCAUGUGCUGUGAGCUCGAUGAGUAGGGCGGGACACGUGGUAUCCUGUCUGAAUAUGGGGGGACCAUCCUCCAAGGCUAAAUACUCCUGACUGACCGAUAGUGAACCAGUACCGUGAGGGAAAGGCGAAAAGAACCCCGGCGAGGGGAGUGAAAAAGAACCUGAAACCGUGUACGUACAAGCAGUGGGAGCACCCUUUGGGUGUGACUG